rnacentral:rRNA from 1 species
AGUGAACGCUGGCGGUAGGCCUAACACAUGCAAGUCGAACGGCAGCACAGUAAGAGCUUGCUCUUACGGGUGGCGAGUGGCGGACGGGUGAGGAAUACAUCGGAAUCUACUUUUUCGUGGGGGAUAACGUAGGGAAACUUACGCUAAUACCGCAUACGACCUACGGGUGAGAGCAGGGGAUCUUCGGACCUUGCGCGAUUGAAUGAGCCGAUGUCGGAUUAGCUAGUUGGCGGGGUAAAGGCCCACCAAGGCGACGAUCCGUAGCUGGUCUGAGAGGAUGAUCAGCCACACUGGAACUGAGACACGGUCCAGACUCCUACGGGAGGCAGCAGUGGGGAAUAUUGGACAAUGGGCGCAAGCCUGAUCCAGCCAUACCGCGUGGGUGAAGAAGGCCUUCGGGCUGUAAAGCCCUUUUGUUGGGAAAGAAAAGCAGCAGGUUAAUACCCCGCUGUUCUGACGGUACCCAAAGAAUAAGCACCGGCUAACUUCGUG